rnacentral:rRNA from 1 species
UGGGGAAUAUUGGGCAAUGGGCGCAAGCCUGACCCAGCAACGCCGCGUGAAGGAAGAAGGCUUUCGGGUUGUAAACUUCUUUUAAGAGGGAAGAGUAGAAGACGGUACCUCUUGAAUAANCCACGGCUAACUACGUGCCAGCAGCCGCGGUAAUACGUAGGUGGCAAGCGUUGUCCGGAUUUACUGGGUGUAAAGGGCGUGUAGCCGGGUUGACAAGUCAGAUGUGAAAUCCUGCGGCUUAACCGCAGAACUGCAUUUGAAACUGUUGAUCUUGAGUACUGGAGAGGCAGACGGAAUUCCUAGUGUAGCGGUGAAAUGCGUAGAUAUUAGGAGGAACACCAGUGGCGAAGGCGGUCUGCUGGACAGCAACUGACGGUGAGGCGCGAAAGCGUGGGGAGCAAACAGG